rnacentral:rRNA from 1 species
UACGAAGGGUGCAAGCGUUACUCGGAAUUACUGGGCGUAAAGCGUGCGUAGGCGGUUUGUUAAGUCUGAUGUGAAAGCCCUGGGCUCAACCUGGGAAUGGCAUUGGAUACUGGCAACCUAGAAUGUGGUAGAGGGUGGCGGAAUUCCCGGUGUAGCAGUGAAGUGCGUAGAUAUUGGGAGGAACACCAGUGGCGAAGGCGGCUCACUGGACCGGUACUGACGCUGAGGCGCGAAAGCGUGGGGGAGCAAACAGG